AUUGAACGCUGGCGGCAGGCCUAACACAUGCAAGUCGAACGGAGUGGCGAACGGCUGAGUAAAACGUGGGCAACCUGCCCUCCUCUUGGGGAUAGCCUCGGGAAACCAGGAACAUACCCGAUAGAGAAGGCUGGCCCGCGGCCUGUUAGCUUGUUGGUGGGGUAGAGGACUACCAAGGAAAUGAUGGGUAGCUGGGUUGAGAGACCGACAAGCCAGAGUGGGACUGGGACACGGCCCAUACUCCUACGGGAGGCAGCAGUGGGGAAUCUUGCACAAUGGGCGAAAGCCUGAUGCAGCGACGCCGCGUGCGGGACGAAGGCCUUCGGGUUGUAAACCGCUUUCAGCAGGGACGCGGUACCUGCAGAAGAAGCACCGGCUAACUCCGUGCCAGCAGCCGCGGUAAUAC
rnacentral:rRNA from 1 species